GAAGAAGAAGAAGAGGGCGACAUGGUGUGAUGUUGGUUCGGCUCAUUUUUUUAAUUUUAUGAAGAUAGAAAUGAGCCGAACCAAUAUCACUCAUGUAUUCUUCAUUCGAGCAUGCAC
rnacentral:pre_miRNA from 1 species